GCGCCCGUAGCUCAACUGGAUAGAGCGCUUGGCUACGGACCAAGAGGUUGGGGGUUCGAGUCCCUCCGGGCGUA
rnacentral:tRNA from 1 species